UUCAAAGUCAUAUCCUCUCUCUAAAAUUUCAGUCCUAACUUUCUCUGGUGCAUUGUCAUUUAGGUGGUGAUUCUGCAUUUCCGGAGUCGAGAGCUUCGACUUGAACCGAUCAGUUUCGCGUUCUAUAGCUGGUCCUGUUUGGUUCUCCACUGUGUGGGGUCCUGUUUAAAGUAUUCUAGCAAGCUGUACUGCUCAACUUCCAGAUGUUGUUGAGGAGGUUCCCUUGGAGCAAGAGUUGGAGGAUGCUGAUGAUGCAGUAUAGUAUUUUUAGGAUUUCUAAAUUUAAGUUGGUGUUAUUUUGAAGUACUCUAAACUGUUUAAGUUUUAAGUUCUGUCCUUUUGUGGAUUGUAAUAUCAGCUACUGUUGUGGAUGACUGUAAUAUCAGCUACUGAACUACUAUUCUAC